AUAUUUCUGGAGGAGAGAUCUCUUUUCUCUCUUCUCUCUUCUCUCUUCUCAUCGCAUCGAACCACCAUCUCCACCUCCCUUCUUCUCCUCGUCACUUUUUUCAUCCAUCAUUCUGCCCAAUUACAAUCUGUACACACACUCCAUUUUCUCAACAAGAUGGUGAAAGUAGCGACCUUCUUUGCAAUGUCCUUGGGUGCUUUCGUUUUCUGGCAGUCAAUGGAUAAACUCCAUGUUUGGAUCGCUCUCCGUCAAGACGAAAAGAAAGAGAGGUUGGAAAAGGAAGCAGAGAUCAGAAGAGUUAGAGAAGAGCUAUUGCAACAAGCGAAGCAGAACGACUCUCUUGCUUAACUCUUCUCUUUUCUUCACCCGGUGCCCUUCUGUUGCUGCUAUCGGUUUUGAAUCGAUAAGUUUAGAUUGACAUUUUAUUACAAGUUUCCUUUGUCUGUUCUAGAACAAUGAUACUUGGGUGGCCUAUAAAUGGUUGAUUGCUCAUUUAUGCAAUUGUCGUGGUUAUCAAAUGGUAAACAAUGCUCAUUUCAUUUUGGAGCUUUGCUUUUUGAAUAAUUGAAUUUGACUCACGAUUCAGUUUGUUAAAACUUGACUCAAUGUUGUGUUCUUACCUUGUC